AUUGAACGCUGGCGGCAUGCCUUACACAUGCAAGUCGAACUGCAGCAUGAUCUAGCUUGCUAGAUUGAUGGCGAGUGGCGAACGGGUGAGUAAUACAUCGGAACGUGCCCUGUAGUGGGGGAUAACUAGUCGAAAGAUUAGCUAAUACCGCAUACGACCUGAGGGUGAAAGUGGGGGACCGCAAGGCCUCAUGCUAUAGGAGCGGCCGAUGUCUGAUUAGCUAGUUGGUGAGGCAAAGGCUCACCAAGGCGACGAUCAGUAGCUGGUCUGAGAGGACGAUCAGCCACACUGGGACUGAGACACGGCCCAGACUCCUACGGGAGGCAGCAGUGGGGAAUUUUGGACAAUGGGGGCAACCCUGAUCCAGCAAUGCCGCGUGUGUGAAGAAGGCCUUCGGGUUGUAAAGCACUUUUGUCCGGAAAGAAAUCGCACUUACUAAUAUUAGGUGUGGAUGACGGUACCGGAAGAAUAAGGACCGGCUAACUACGUGCCAGCAGCCGCGGUAAAAC
rnacentral:rRNA from 1 species